rnacentral:lncRNA from 1 species
UUGUACAUCCUUGGCCAUCAUUGCAGAUUUGGAGGUAAUUAGUUUUCCAUUAUCAUUCUCGAUUCUCAAAUCCAUUCAUUAUAGUAAAAUCAGGAUCAUAAUAAUUCUAAUAGGAAAAGAAAUGAAUCAGAAUAAAUGGGAGAAUUAUUUAAUACUAAGAUUAAUGCUGAAGCAUGCCAACUAUGGACUUUAUACAGUUCCUAUU